CAAUAGCGUAUAUUAAAGUUGUUGCAGUUAAAAAGCUCGUAGUUGGAUUUGUGGCGUACGGUGUGUUCCGGGCACUUGUUGUCUGAGUAACCUGCUGUUGCCAUCCUUGGGUGGAACCUGUGUGGCAUUAGGUUGUCGUGCAGGGGAUGCCCAUCAUUUACUGUGAAAAAAUUAGAGUGUUCAAAGCAGGCUUAUGCCGUUGAAUAUAUUAGCAUGGAAUAAUGAGAUAGGACUUUUUUGCUAUUUUGUUGGUUUGCGCAAGAAGGUAAUGAUUAAUAGGGACAGUUGGGGGCAUUCGUAUUCCAUUGUCAGAGGUGAAAUUCUUGGAUUUUUGGAAGACGAACUACUGCGAAAGCAUUUACCAAGGAUGUUUUCAUUAA
rnacentral:rRNA from 1 species